GAUGGUAGGAUAGAGGCCUACCAUGGUGGUAACGGGUAACGGGGCGUUAGGGCACGACACCGGAGAGGGAGCCUGAGAAACGGCUACCACAUCCAAGGAUGGCAGCAGGCGCGCAAAUUACCCAAUCCCGACACGGGGAGGUAGUGACAAUAAAUAACAAUACGGGGUUCUUUCGGAUCUCGUAAUUGGAAUGAGUACAAUUUAAAUCUCUUAACGAGGAACAAUUGGAGGGCAAGUCUGGUGCCAGCAGCCGCGGUAAUUCCAGCUUCAAUAGCGUAUAUUAAAGUUGUUGCAGUUAAAAAGCUCGUAGUUGGACCUUGGGUCGUCAUGGUCGGUCCGCCUACUUGGUGUGCACUGGCCCUCACGUCCCUUCUGCCGGCGGCGCGUUCCUGGCCUUAAUUGGCUGGGUCGCGGUUCCGGCGCCGUUACUUUGAAAAAAUUAGAGUGCUCAAAGCAAGCCUACGCUCUGAAUACAUUAGCAUGGAAUAACGCGAUAGGAGUCUGGUCCCGUUCCGUUGGCCUUCGGGACCGGAGUAAUGAUUAAUAGGGACUGUCGGGGGCAUUCGUAUUUCAUUGUCAGAGGUGAAAUUCUUGGAUUUAUGGAAGACGAACCACUGCGAAAGCAUUUGCCAAGGAUGUUUUCAUUAAUCAAGAACGAAAGUUGGGGGCUCGAAGACGAUCAGAUACCGUCCUAGUCUCAACCAUAAACGAUGCCGACCAGGGAUCGGCGGAUGUUGCUCUAAGGACUCCGCCAGCACCUUCUGGGAAACC
rnacentral:rRNA from 1 species